AACGAACGCUGGCGGCAUGCCUAACACAUGCAAGUCGAACGAGAUCUUCGGGUCUAGUGGCGCACGGGUGCGUAACGCGUGGAAUCUGCCCUUUGGUUCGGAAUAACAGUUGGAAACGACUGCUAAUACCGGAUGAUGACGAAAGUCCAAAGAUUUAUCGCCAGCGGAUGAGCCCGCGUAGGAUUAGCUAGUUGGUGUGGCAAAGGCGCACCAAGGCGACGAUCCGUAGCUGGUCUGAGAGGAUGAUCAGCCACACUGGGACUGAGACACGGACCGGACUGCUACGGGAGGCAGCAGUGGGGAAUAUUGGACAAUGGGCGAAAGCCUGAUCCAGCAAUGCCGCGUGAGUGAUGAAGGCCUUAGGGUUGACAAGCUCUUUUACCCGGGAUGAUAAUGACAGUACCGGGAGAAUAAGCUCCGGCUAACUCCGUGCCAGCCGCCGCAGUAA
rnacentral:rRNA from 1 species